rnacentral:rRNA from 1 species
AUUGAACGCUGGCGGCGUGCUUAACACAUGCAAGUCGAACGAAGGCUUCGGCCUUAGUGGCGCACGGGUGAGUAACACGUGGGAACCUGCCUUUCGGUUCGGGAUAACGUCUGGAAACGGACGCUAACACCGGAUACGCCCUUCGGGGGAAAGUUUACGCCGAGAGAGGGGCCCGCGUCCGAUUAGGUAGUUGGUGGGGGAACGGCCUACCAAGCCGCCGAUCGGUAGCUGGUCUGAGAGGAUGAUCAGCCACACUGGGACUGAGACACGGCCCAGACUCCUACGGGAGGCAGCAGUGGGGAAUAUUGGACAAUGGGGGCAACCCUGAUCCAGCAAUGCCGCGUGGGUGAUGAAGGCCUUCGGGUUGUAAAGCUCUUUCGCACGCGACGAUGACGACGGUAGCGUGAGAAGAAGCCCCGGCUAACUUCGUGCCAGCCGCCGCAGUAACAC